ANUGUUUUUGAUUUAUGUGCAUAUGCACACAUAUGUAAAUAUUUGACAACUCGAUAUACUUUUGAAUAAAAAAAACAGUACAAUAAUACAUAGUUUUUUUCCAACAGUUCAUGAGAAUUUGUUAAACGAAUGUGGCCAUUUUUAUAUAGCAUUCAGAUUCGCCAUUUUCUCUAUAUAUAUUUUUUUUAUAUAUUUAACAUUUAACAUUUCCAAUAUAUUUCAUUUGUUUAAUAACAACAUAUUAAAUAUAUCCAUAUAAAAUAUAUACAUUUUUUCGUUCAAAAAUAUCUUUUUGUUUGCACUUAAUAUAACAUCACACAUCUAUUUGCCUAAACCAAAAUAAAUUGUGUUUUGGCAUUGUAUUUUGACAACAAAUUUAAAAUUUAUCCAAUAACGUAUGCGUUUUUCGUGAUAUACAUUAAAUAAAACCAAGCACAUGAGUUUAUGUUGAAUGGAUUUUGAUAUUUUGGCAAUAUUUUAAUUUGCAUAUAAAUCUCUUUGGUUAUAUGCUGGUACAUUGGUGAAAUGGUUCUCAUACAAUCAUAAAUCAUAUGAUACCAUUUCCAGAUAUUCACGAUAAUAUUUCGAAACCAAAAGACUUUACUUUAUAUAUGUUUCACUACAUUAUCUUAAGAUCAAUUUGUCGCAGCCAAGCAAUUUACAUUAAAUAACUUUUUAUCAACAAAUAUCACCCAAUAACACCACCAUGAGUAUAAUGACAACGUAUAAUCAUAUCAUAUGCAAUACUGUACCAAAUAUUGCACAUAAUAUAGAUGGACAUCAACU
rnacentral:lncRNA from 1 species